GCGAAAGUCUCCAGGGGCUCGGAAGCGGUCUGCUGAGACCAAAGGUAAUCCGCCAAAGGUUCGAGCCCUUUUUCUCGCG
rnacentral:tRNA from 1 species